rnacentral:rRNA from 1 species
GGGUUGUGAGGUUAAGCGACUAAGCGUACACGGUGGAUGCCCUGGCAGUCAGAGGCGAUGAAGGACGUGCUAAUCUGCGAUAAGCGCCGGUAAGGUGAUAUGAACCGUUAUAACCGGCGAUUUCCGAAUGGGGAAACCCAGUGUGAUUCGUCACACUAUCAUUAACUGAAUCCAUAGGUUAAUGAGGCGAACCGGGGGAACUGAAACAUCUAAGUACCCCGAGGAAAAGAAAUCAACCGAGAUUCCCCCAGUAGCGGCGAGCGAACGGGGAGGAGCCCAGAGCCUGAAUCAGCAUGUGUGUUAGUGGAAGCGUCUGGAAAGGCGCGCGAUACAGGGUGACAGCCCCGUACACAAAAGCGCAUGUGCUGUGAGCUCGAUGAGUAGGGCGGGACACGUGGUAUCCUGUCUGAAUAUGGGGGGACCAUCCUCCAAGGCUAAAUACUCCUGACUGACCGAUAGUGAACCAGUACCGUGAGGGAAAGGCGAAAAGAACCCCGGCGAGGGGAGUGAAAAAGAACCUGAAACCGUGUACGUACAAGCAGUGGGAGCACCCUUUGGGGUGUGACUGCGUACCUUUUGUAUAAUGGGUCAGCGACUUAUAUUCUGUAGCAAGGUUAACCGUAUAGGGGAGCCGGAGGGAAACCGAGUCUUAAUUGGGCGUUAAGUUGCAGGGUAUAGACCCGAAACCCGGUGAUCUAGCCAUGGGCAGGUUGAAGGUUGGGUAACACUAACUGGAGGACCGAACCGACUAAUGUUGAAAAAUUAGCGGAUGACCUGUGGCUGGGGGUGAAAGGCCAAUCAAACCGGGAGAUAGCUGGUUCUCCCCGAAAGCUAUUUAGGUAGCGCCUCGUGAAUUCAUCUCCGGGGGUAGAGCACUGUUUCGGCUAGGGGGCCAUCCCGGCUUACCAACCCGAUGCAAACUGCGAAUACCGGAGAAUGUUAUCACGGGAGACACACGGCGGGUGCUAACGUCCGUCGUGAAGAGGGAAACAACCCAGACCGCCAGCUAAGGUCCCAAAGUCAUGGUUAAGUGGGAAACGAUGUGGGAAGGCCCAGACAGCCAGGAUGUUGGCUUAGAAGCAGCCAUCAUUUAAAGAAAGCGUAAUAGCUCACUGGUCGAGUCGGCCUGCGCGGAAGAUGUAACGGGGCUAAACCAUGCACCGAAGCUGCGGCAGCGAACGUAUCACCCAAGACAACUUUGCGGAGUUGACGAUUGACGGAGCGAAGCGACGUCAAAGCGUUCAUUAAAGUCGAGUUGGCUUAGGGAUACGUUCGUUGGGUAGGGGAGCGUUCUGUAAGCCUGUGAAGGUGGCCUGUGAGGGUUGCUGGAGGUAUCAGAAGUGCGAAUGCUGACAUAAGUAACGAUAAAGCGGGUGAAAAGCCCGCUCGCCGGAAGACCAAGGGUUCCUGUCCAACGUUAAUCGGGGCAGGGUGAGUCGACCCCUAAGGCGAGGCCGAAAGGCGUAGUCGAUGGGAAACGGGUUAAUAUUCCCGUACUUGGUGUUACUGCGAAGGGGGGACGGAGAAGGCUAUGUUGGCCGGGCGACGGUUGUCCCGGUUUAAGCGUGUAGGUGUGUGUUCCAGGUAAAUCCGGUUCACUUUAAC